rnacentral:lncRNA from 7 species
GAGAAUGGUAUCCAGAGAUGGUAGGACUGCCAUGGCACUGGGCUGUAAGGAGUCAGAAUUGGCAAGCUCUGCGUGAGAUGUGAUGGAUGUUUUUUCCACGAGGACAUCUGAGGGGCAGGAGGUUCUGCCGUGCAGCAGAGCCAGUAGCUCUCUUCCUCUCAGCGGCUGUGGGGAAAUCUGGGACAGCCUCCCUUAGUGACACAGUGCUGUGUGUUGGAACGGAGUCCCGGUUUUCAUGACAUCAGUAGCGACAUUCCUCCUGGCAUCAGAAGAGGCAGCGUGUGUCCAUUGACUGUUCUGGCUAAAACUGAAAAGCAUAGAAGUUAAGGCUGAUCCGAUCUCAACUGAUGUCAUUGAAAUUGAGUAGUUGCUCCGUGACACAGCGGCUCGUAGAUCCCGGAGCAGAUGGGGCCGCCGUGUACAGGGCUGGAGGAGGUGGCACUGAGCUGCGGAGUGCCUCUGUCUGCCUUUGGAGCCCACAGAUAGCCCUGUGAUGUCAGAGGGAGCACUCGCAUGCCUGGCACCAGAGGAGGGCUGAGAUACCCAAGCCACCUCACUGAAGAGAUAACACACACUUCUCACAUUCUUGGCUUACCUCUUCUCACUGCCACUGCCUGGCUACCCUGACCUACGAGCCAUGCAGGGCUGAUGGCUGCUUUGGUAGACAGACUCAGCAAGCACUGGUUGAUCUAGCAGUGAAGAUGGCCUUAAAAAUAACCAAAAUGCAGAAUGUCAUCAAACCCUACGGACUGCUUCCCCUCACCACAGAUGGACAGUGCUGCUCAGAGGAAUGUGCUGUAUGAGUGUAGAAUGCAACUGUGGGACAGAAACCCUUGGUCUCUUAAUGACACACUUAGAGCAGAACAGAGGAUGUGGCAGAGCCUUCCAAAACUGCCCCAGGCAAAGGCAGAGUGAAAGGAAAGACAAGGGACGAGUAAACAGUGCAAACCCAAUCCUGCUGGUAUUUAUUUCACUCUGUUUGACGGAAGAGCUUCUAUUUAUUCUGAAAGUGUUUGGAAAAAUUACAUUGAGGGGAGACACAGAGGUGGUGGCAGUGAAGGUGUGCAGGAAGGAGGUUUGUUUCCUGCACUGAAAGCAGCUUACAGUCCAGCACGGAAUCCUGUCGUGUCAAACCUGGAGCACUGAAUCCUUCCUUAAGGAACUGAGUGAGUUUGGGCACUCCAUUAUACGCUGUGCCAGUACUCUGUCAGCUUAGAAAGCAAAUCCCGAAAAAUAGUUUCGCCUAUUUCAAGCCAGCUGACUUUAUGCAUUUCUUCCUCUGCACUGCAUGUUGUGAAAUGUUAACGAGGAUUUUAAGAAGUAGACGCUCUGCUCCCUU